AUUUAUGUGAUUUGCAUUCCAAGAUUCUCAACAACAUUGUGAGCAAAAAAAUACUUCAAGCUUGAACUAAACCCCCCAUAAUCUAAUUACAUACUUCAGUGUUCAGUGUUUCACAGAGACUGUCUUGAGGCAACAGCGGAGAAACAAUGUCUGAAUGAGGAGCUUACUCGGUGAAUUCGAAACUAAUUGAAACAUCUAAUCAAUUUGAAAAACUUGACUGAAACAAUCAAAGGACUAUAAUUGAAAGCAAUCCAGCCGUCCCGUCCAAUCGUUCGUGAAUGCUAAGGGUGCUAAGGACUGUUUGCUGUCACUAGGUGGCUAAAACUAUGCCCACUUGAUGGCACGAUGUCAAAGGCACUGAGCGAAAAAGUCUGGAGCUGCUGUGUACAGUUUCAAAAUGUCGUCUCUUACUACCUUUAUCGGGUGAACGUUUCGUCACAUGCAGAACAACUUCAGAACAAUUAAAUCUAAUGUGGACAUGGAUUUUUUGCAGUCAUCCAGUGAAAGGUGUGAAUAAAUUGAGAUGUUGCAUGCAGUCUUUGGUGCCAAUGUUGUCCUGGAUUGUGGGAGAGUUCCAUGCUUCAAGUUUUAUGGCAUCAGUCACUGGAUCAUUAUGCAUUGUGGUUGCUGAAAUGUUGGACAUCUAGUAGAACUGCAAGAAGCCUUCUUGAAAUGGUUUAUGUUUACAUAGCAGUGAUGUUGCUGUCAAAUGGGCCAUGUUGUUGCAGCCUGCUGGCGAAGGAUUUUUUGCAUCGAGUUAAACUGUUGCUGUGCCUUGGUCCAGACUGCUGGUGUUGUGCAAUGUGCACAGAAUUUCCAUCCAGAUUUAAUUGUAAUUUGUGUCUAUGCAGUUAACCGUUUGUAUGUUGAGAAUGAACAAAAACAGUAAAAACGGGGAAUUUUUGCGUUGAACAAAUAAUAAACAUGUCUUUGCGAAUGGGAAAUCAGCGAGGAGGAGAUGGUGUGGGGGGGGUAGUUGAUUUUCAUUAACUAGAAGAAGUGGUGGUUUGUUUUAAUAAGGUAGAAAUAAAAUCCUUUGUCUAUCACGUCCACAAAUCCAUAUACCUUUCUAUGUAACCACAUUUAUUCUUCAAACCCCAUAACAUCCACCAACAUCCAUUCAUUAAACCCGCAUUGCCCCACAAAUGUAAAAUAUCUAUAAUAUGUAAAUAUUAUUGUUGA
rnacentral:lncRNA from 1 species